CCAAGUGCAAGUUUUCAGGGGGGGGUAUCACAAACUCUCCCGACACUUCUGUCACUUCGACCAGAAGAUGUCAAAUUUCAAGGGGGGAGUAUCACAAACUCUCCCGACACUUCCGUCACUUUGACCAGAAGUUGUCAAAUUUUAAGGGGGGAGUAUCACAAGCUCUCCCGGCACUUCUGUCUAUAGGAUGGAAGUCGUCACAUUUCAAGGGGGAGUAUCAUAAGCUCUCCCGACACUUCU
rnacentral:lncRNA from 1 species